rnacentral:lncRNA from 1 species
ACUCUCUCCUGACAUCUUGUGAAGAUGGUGCUUGCUUUUCCUUUGUCUUCUGCCAUGAUUGUAAGCUUCCUGAGGCCUCCCCAGCCAUGUGGAACUUUCCUCCUGCAUUCAUUUCUCUUCCUGCUGCCUUGUGAAGAAGGUGCCUUGCUUCCCCUUCACCUUCUACGGUGAUUGCAAGUUGCCUGAGGAUUCCCCAGCCAUGUGAAACUGUGAGGACACAAUAGGAUGACCAUCAGCAAACCAGGAAUAAUGCCCUCAACAGACAUCUGAUCUGCUGACACCUUGAUCUUGGACUUCUAAUUCUGCAGAACUGUGAGAAAUAAAUAACUGUUUUUAAAAACCA